AUGUACCACUCGUACAGUGUGGUUCUGAGCGCGGCGUCCGCGCCCACCUGAUAGCUUCUGGCUACGUUUUGUUAGCC
rnacentral:sRNA from 2 species